rnacentral:lncRNA from 1 species
UUGCGCUGCUGUCUCUGCAGAGGCUUCAUUGCGCUUGAAAACAAGACAUUUAUCAUUGAGCCGGUGUCUGGGCAUGACAACGGUGCCCACUUCAUCUACCGAGUGGAAGAACUCGCACUGACCCCAGGAGCCUGCGGCCACGGCUUCAACAUGUCCUCUGUUGCCCCUGAAAACCACAGCAAAAGCCCCUUUCAAUCCUUCCACACGAGGCAUAAAAGGCAGGUUCAGAAGACAACCAAGUACGUUGAGCUGAUCAUUGUUGCAGACAACAGAGAGUUUCAGAAACAGGGGAGGGAUGUGGAGAAGGUGAAACAGAGACUGGCAGAGAUAGCCAAUUACGUGGACAAGCUGAAACCAGCUGGCACCAUGUGUCGAGAUUCUAGUAACUCAUGUGACCUGCCAGAGUUUUGUACUGGUGCAAACCCUCACUGCCCAGCCAACGUUUAUCUGCAUGAUGGACAUGCCUGCCACAGCGUUGAAGGCUACUGCUACAAUGGCAUCUGCCAAACUCAUGAGCAACAAUGCAUCACCCUGUGGGGACCAGGGGCCAAGCCUGCCCCUGGGAUAUGCUUUGAGCGAGUCAACUCCGCAGGUGAUCCUUAUGGGAACUGUGGGAAGGACUCCAAAGGCUCCUUUGCCAAAUGUGAUGCAAGGGACGCAAAAUGUGGCAAAAUUCAGUGCCAGGGAGGAGCCAACCGGCCAGUGAUCGGAACAAACGCUGUUUCCAUUGAAACCAACAUCCCGCUUCAAGAAGGAGGGCGAAUCCUGUGUCGAGGAACUCAUGUUUAUCUGGGCGAUGACAUGCCUGAUCCUGGGCUGGUUCUGGCUGGUACAAAGUGUGGAGACGGCAUGGUGUGCCUGAAUCGCGAGUGCCAGAAUGUCAGUGUCUUUGGUGUGCAUGAGUGCUCUGGGAAGUGCAAUGGACGUGGGGUGUGCAACAACAAGAUGAACUGCCACUGUGAAGCACACUGGGCCCCUCCGUUCUGUGGGAAAGCAGGCUUCGGUGGGAGCAUCGACAGUGGGCCAAUGAGACUAGCAGCCGACAGUGUGGUCAUUACUGUGGCAAUCCUGGUUACCCUGGUCAGCCUUCUGGUAACCACCGUCAUCAUCUUUCUGAAGAGAAAGACUCUGCUGCGCCUCAUCUUCACCAAUAAGAAAAGCACCUUGGAGAAACUCAGAUCUGUGGAGGCCAACAGGCCAACCAGCCCCAUCAGGACUCCGUCAAUGUACAGGCCCACCCCACAGCGCAAGCCUCCACCCAAACCCUCUGCAGCCAACAUUUAUAAGGUGAGUCACUCCCUACAAUAA